CGGGGAGGCUGAAGUAUCACCUGUACAGAGAAAGGUCCCUCUCCCAGGGCCGGUCCGCAGUUCUGCCGGACGAACGCCUCCUUGGCUGGUUACUCUGUCAGUGUCAGCUCAGGACACCCAAGACCCGUCUCCUUGCAGCACAUGAUGGGCUGGCCCAGGAAAUUCAGCCUAAGAACGGAUCGUAAAAUGCUUAAAGAAGUCUCCAGGAACCCUUGAGUUUCGUCCCAGGAU